ACGAAGGGGGCGAGCGUUGUUCGGAUUUACUGGGCGUAAAGGGCGCGUAGGCGGCGAUUUUUGUCAGGCGUGAAAGCCCUGGGCUUAACCUGGGAGGUGCGCUUGGGACGGGAUUGCUAGAGUUCGGGAGAGGAGAGUGGAAUUCCCAGUGUAGAGGUGAAAUUCGUAGAUAUUGGGAAGAACACCGGUGGCGAAGGCGGCUCUCUGGACCGAUACUGACGCUGAGGCGCGAAAGCGUGGGGAGCAAACAGGAUUAGAUACCCUGGUAGUCCACGCUGUAAACGAUGUGUGCUAGACGUUGGGGAGCCUAGCUCUUCGGUGUCGCAGCUAACGCGAUAAGCACACCGCCUGGGGAGUACGGCCGCAAGGUUA
rnacentral:rRNA from 1 species